ACUCACACUGUACUUCCAGGGAGACAGCGACUAUGAGGAGACAAACUGAGGACUGGGGAACAAGCAGUGAACUAGAGUGAUUGGAGAACCUUCUGCAUGCCUUGAAGUUUCAUGAACAGCUUGUGAAAUGCUCCAAAACCUUUAGGUAAAAAAGGCUGGGGAUAGCACAGUAAUAAUUGCCAUAU
rnacentral:lncRNA from 1 species